AUUGAACGCUGGCGGCGUGCCUAACACAUGCAAGUCGAGCGGUAACAGGUGUAGCAAUACAUGCUGACGAGCGGCGGACGGGUGAGUAACGCUUGGGAAUCUGCCUAUUAGUGGGGGACAACCCGGGGAAACUCGGGCUAAUACCGCAUACGCACUACGGUGGAAAGCCGGGGACCGCAAGGCCUGGCGCUAACAGAUGAGCCCAAGUCGGAUUAGCUAGUUGGUAGGGUAACGGCCUACCAAGGCGACGAUCCGUAACUGGUCUGAGAGGACGACCAGUCACACCGGAACUGAGACACGGUCCGGACUCCUACGGGAGGCAGCAGUGGGGAAUAUUGUGCAAUGGGCGUAAGCCUGACGCAGCGACGCCGCGUGGGGAUGAAGGCC
rnacentral:rRNA from 1 species